CUGUGUCUUAUUUGUGCUAACAAUUCUAUAUCUUUUCUUUUAGAAGUUAUAUUUUGCCAUUUUGUUUAUUUUUGGUGGAUAUGUGUUCUUUCCACCGCGGCGGAUCUAAACCAAUACAUAUUGGAUUGCCUGGUCGGUGUGUACGCCAGGUGUGAUCACCGCUUCUUUCAGGAAGCGAUACAUGUUCUGGAUGUGAUACGUUUUCUGUCCCCUUUCUUCUCAUCCAGAAAACCCCACAAAGACAUCUCUUGGUAUCACCAGACCACCUCCUCCACACUUGUGCUUACCGUCUUCACCACCGUCGACGAUAUGUUCCUUCAAAUUAUUCUUUUAUCAAUUCCACUUCCUGGCUUCCGAUCAAGCGAAGAGGUCAACACCUGUUACUCAUCUUCACAUUCAUCGCUUCCAUCUCCUACAUAGCAUCGAUAUCUCGACGCACUCGGGCCCUAGAUAGCACCCACACCUGCAAUCGGUUCAGGUUUGGUAUGUUGUUGAACCAAUCAGAACUAUUCAACCGACGAUUUAAUGCAAUAGUCAUUGUCUUUGUACAUCAUGGGAGACCCCCAAUAAAGACGUUCAUUUGAAGUCCCACCAUCGAAGAUACAGUAUUUUCUGCUUCCGUGUUGCUUCUCCCCAGUUAUAUGGUCUUUGAUUUCCUUUCUUUUUAAAGCUUUGAUCAAAGAUUUCAGUUGUUCUUCAAUUCAGAUCAUAUAAAUGUCCAGGCAAAGAUCCUACAACGGUUAAUCACUCUCACACUGCCGGUUAAAUCUGGUUUGGGGGUUUUCAUUUUUGAUGUUUUGUAAUCGUUCGUAUAAAAAGUUUCAAUUCAGUGUUGGACACACUGCCGUCUCUGACUUUUACCACCAUCACCACAUGUGGGUUUCCCCUGCCAGCCUCAUCAGCACCUCUUGGAUUUCUAUCUACUUUCCGUAACCCUAACUAAAGUAUCGGUUCACAGUCGAAACUUUUUAGUCCAAAAAUUUGGGGUUGGGUUUAUUUUGAAGGUAACUGAAGUAUUGGUUCAUACUCAAGAUUGUUUUUCCUAAAUUUUAGAGUUCAAUUUAUUUUGAAGGCUCUGUUCGUGAUCGCCCAUGAAUGAUUAUGAACAAGGUACAGAGUUUAAGUUUUUGAGGCAGUUGAUUUUGGAUUCCCUCAACCAUGCUUUGAUCAGAUCAGAUUAGAUGAAGAAGUCCAGGAUUUAUUGUUGUUUUUUAUUAGAAUUUUGCGAGAUUGAAAAGGUGGGAAGGUUGUACUUCUGCUCCUACUUAAAGUUUACAAUGUCUAUUCUAUUUCUUUGUUAUUUCAUUUCAUCCAACCCACCAUGCCUUUAUUUUUAUUGUUAGUGAUAUUGUUUGUUUGAAA